rnacentral:rRNA from 1 species
AGAUUGAACGCUGGCGGCAGGCCUAACACAUGCAAGUCGAGCGGUAGAGAGGUGCUUGCAUCUCUUGAGAGCGGCGGACGGGUGAGUAAUGCCUAGGAAUCUGCCUAGUGGUGGGGGAUAACGUUCGGAAACGGACGCUAAUACCGCAUACGUCCUACGGGAGAAAGCGGGGGACCUUCGGGCCUCGCGCCAUUAGAUGAGCCUAGGUCGGAUUAGCUAGUUGGUGAGGUAAUGGCUCACCAAAGGCGACGAUCCGUAACUGGUCUGAGAGGAUGAUCAGUCACACUGGAACUGAGACACGGUCCAG